rnacentral:lncRNA from 1 species
AACUUUUAUGUCUUGCUCUAGUAUACUUUAUAAUCACCCGACCCUCGCGUCCUUCCUCUUUGCUUUAGUCUCAAACGGUGCUUUUGCCUCUUUCUAUUCCCUCUGUUUUCAAUUCAAGCAUCCAUUUACUUUCAAUUCUUCGCAAUCGGUAAUUCCUUGUCUUCGUUUUGAGCCUUAAAUUUCUCCGAUCUCUCGCUCUCACAACACCGCGCUUUGGUAUCUCUUUCUAGGGUUUUGAGUUUGUACUCGUGAAGAAUCAUAAAAUUUUAGGGUUUUUGAGUUCGCUAUACGGUAAAGAGAUUUUUCCUCUGGUUUCAAGCUGAAUUCCUGCAAUUGUUCCGUCAAGGUUUGAGCUCUUUUUACAGUUAAUUAGUGCUUACUGUUUAAUGAUGGCUUCUAUCUCAAAAUUUUAAAAAUAAUUAUUAAUUGACGGCUUAAUUUGGUAGAUAAUAUAACAUAAUAGUAGUAUUUAUAUUCCUGAAGAUUUUUGUUCUAGAGUGCAUCCAUGAGAGAGAAGGAAGGGUAAGGUGGGAAUGAGACUAGGAAUAGAGGAGUAAAAAAGAUGCAAUUGAAGACAAUACCCAUUUGAGAGUAAAAAAGCUCCUUUUUAGUUUUUACUUUUUUUUGUUCUACUUUAAUGAACUUUUUUUAAGGAUCAUAAUGAACACAACUCUUUAGAGUAGUAGUUCUUCAAUCCCUC